rnacentral:tRNA from 1 species
GGGCGGUUAGCUCAGUUGGUUAGAGCGCUGCUUUGACAUAGCAGAGGUUCGUAGGUUCGAGUCCUAUACCGCCCA